GUAAUUACAAAACCAGAAUAUUGCCUGUACCUGGAGAUAAUUAAGUUACUGUAACCAUUUAAGCUACUUAUCUCCAGGAUAGAGGGAUGGGUUUGAAAAGAUGCACUUUGUUCUUAUUGGUUAUUGUCCCUUGUAACACUGUGUACCAUCAGGUCCAGAGGGGUGUGCCUCUGGCCUGAAAAUGUGUAUAUAAGCAAUGCCUU